rnacentral:rRNA from 1 species
GGGCCCGCACAAGCAGCGGAGCGUGUUGCUUAAUUCGAUGCAACGCGAAGAACCUUACCAGGGUUUGACAUCCUGCGAAUCUCUUGGAAACAGGAGAGUGCCUUCGGGAACGCAGUGACAGGUGGUGCAUGGCCGUCGUCAGCUCGUGUCGUGAGAUGUUGGGUUAAGUCCCGCAACGAGCGCAACCCACGUCUUUAGUUGCCAGCAUUUAGUUGGGCACUCUAGAGAGACUGCCGGUGAUAAACCGGAGGAAGGUGUGGAUGACGUCAAGUCAUCAUGCCCCUUACAUCCUGGGCUACACACGUACUACAAUGCUACGGACAAAGGGCAACAAACUCGCGAGAGCUAGCAAAUCCCAUAAACCGUGGCUCAGUUCAGAUCGUAGGCUGCAACUCGCCUACGUGAAGGAGGAAUCGCUAGUAAUCGCAGGUC